rnacentral:rRNA from 1 species
UUCGCAAUCCCGAAAGGGUGACGAAGCGACGCCGCGUGUGGAAGAAGGCCUUCGGGUUGUAAACCACUGUCGGGAGUAAGAAAUGCAAGAAUGUUAAUAGCGUUUUUGCUUGACUAAGGCUCCGGAGGAAGCCACGGCUAACUCUGUGCCAGCAGCCGCGGUAAUACAGAGGCGGCAAGCGUUGUUCGGAAUUAUUGGGCGUAAAGAGCACGUAGGCGGCUAUAUAAGUCGGUUGUGAAAGCCUUCCGCUCAACGGGAGAACAGCAUCCGAUACUGUGUGGCUUGAGUGUGGGAGGGGAGAGCGGAACUUCUGGUGGAGCGGUGAAAUGCGUAGAUAUCAGAAGGAACGCCGGCGGCGAAAGCGGCUCUCUGGCCCAUAACUGACGCUGAGUGUGCGAAAGCUAGGGGAGCAAACGGGAUUAGAUACCCCGGUAGUCCUAGCCGUAAACGAUGGGCACUAAGUAGAGGGGUU